CUGAGUCCCACGUUGGCCCUUUUCGCUUACUCCACCCCCCUCCCGACCGGGUGUGCAUUGGCCUGUGUGUCCGCGAAGUCUCCCAGCAGGUGUGUUACCAAGAAGCUUGUACAUCUUUAUAAAUUUCCCCUCCCUGACUGAUUAAUGUUUAUAAUAUCAAGGAUGACACUACAACCAACUGAUCCACCUGGCCAGAG